AUUUUUUUUUUUUGAAAUAGCCUGACAUACGUGACAUAUAGACUCACCACAAAUAUAAGUUUCUCUACCCACACGAACAACGUCUUCUUUGUGUCUGUACAACAUACCGAUCAAGAAUAUCAAUAGGAUUACAAUUCACAACCUACGUCCAUCAAAUCUAUAGACAAUCGAUGCGAUGCAUUUUCAUACAGCUAACUAUUCUUAGAAAUAAUUCAUGCUCCUAAGCACUCAGGCGCCGGAAGAUGCGAUACAUAAUACAACAAUUAUCCUAUUUAAAAGUGCUCUCCACCCAGAAGCUUUAUUUAUAAAUGCUAAUUAUUCAUCAAUCAAAAAAAAAUCAUUCAAAAAGUCUUUUGAAAACUGUUUCUC
rnacentral:lncRNA from 1 species